CUCGGCUCUCGCAUCGAUGAAGAACGUAGCGAAAUGCGAUACUUGGUGUGAAUUGCAGAAUCCCGUGAACCAUCGAGUCUUUGAACGCAAGUUGCGCCCCAAGCCUUCUGGCCGAGGGCACGUCUGCCUGGGUGUCACAAAUCGUCGUCCCCAUUCUUUGCGGA
rnacentral:rRNA from 1 species